rnacentral:lncRNA from 1 species
GGUGUCAUAUGGGUGACAUCACUCCCCCAGCUAGCCAAUGGCUGGGGGCCGGCUCCGCCCAUCUUCCUUUAUUAACUCGGAGGCCCCGCCCCUCCACCCCGCCCUCCGGGCUGCUUUGCAAAGAUGGGGGUGGGGGGAGAGGAGGCAUGUCUAGAAAUAUGUUAUUUUUAAAAAAUCCGCGUGUGUGCACAGAUGCGCCUGUUCCCGGGAUGCUCGGAAGCGGCGCGCGGCACCACGGGGAGCGGGCGGCCCGGGGCGAACCGGGAUGGUUCGGGCGCCGGCGCUAACCGAGGACCGGGUCCCGGGAGAGGCCCCGCGCGCCUUUGUGCCCAGUCCCCGGGAGGCCCGACGGCGACAGCGGACGGCGCGCGCUCACUCCCCGGGUGCACACACUCGGGCACGCGCCCAGCCUGAGACGGCGGCCUCCGCCCGGCUCGCGGUCAGCCGCGCCCGGCCUGCCCCGGGGUGGGCGCAGCUGCUCCCCGGCGAGCCCCUCGCGGGGCUCGGCCGCUCCCCCGGGUCGCCGCCCCGAGCCCGCCCGGUAGCCCCGCGGCGGCCCUGGCCGACGGAAGGUGGCGCUUGAAGACAGCAACCUUCCCGGCACGUGGGCUCUGCUCUCCUUUUCCCUUUCUCCCUUUUUGUAAGGCAAAGAAAUCAAUUUAAAGCUCGAGAGGCGGUGAGCUCCCUCCCCCGUUUUGCAUUUUUCUGUUUUGUCCUUUUUCUCCGUCUGUUUUCCCUCCUCGGUGGUGUUUGGGGACGCGGCUGUGCGGGUUGGGCUGCGCCGCGCCCCCGCGCGCCCCGCCCCGGGCGGGGGCCGGAGUAACGGUCUGCGGGGCCCUCGGGUUCAAGCUGGCCACUCCCAGGGCUGGCUCCGGAGCGGGCUCUGGGUCCCGCAGGCUCCAGCAAGCCCGCGCCCCGCCCGGCGUCCCUGCGAGGGGCCCGGCGCCCUCCUUCCCUUCUCCCUCUGCUCCCCGCCCCUCCUCUCCCCGCCCCGUCCUCUCCCCGCCCCUCCGCCGCUCCUUUCUCCUUCCCAGGCCUCCUCUUCCUCUUUGUCCUUCCCCCAUCCUCGGUCGCCAGCGCUUCUCCGGCAGCCUCGUCCUGAAAUCGUGCGAUUGUGAGCUAGAAGCCUUCUGGGUCACUCAUAAACCAAAGAGAAAAUAAGGCAGCACAUAUUUCCCAUAGAAAUGUGGAAUGUAAGAAAGGCACAUAAAGCAAUCCAAGUUGCCUGCAGAUAUCCACAGCCUACUUCAGUCUCAGUAAUGCUCUUUUAACCUGGUGCAUCAGUUUAAGGGAAGACAUGAGAUCAUGGGUUUAAGUGAGGCUUCAUCAUGCCAAGACAACGUGAUCAGUUAUUCCCAACCUAUAUAACUCACAUACACUGGAGGAAAUAUCUUCAUGGAAUUAAAACCACAUGGAGUAACAUUUCACGUAAGCAGAAUUCAGGAAUGAUUUCAGUAAUUCCAUCCCAAACACACACAGGCAAAGGGAGUGAAGAUUUCUUCAGCAACAUGGUGGCAGAAAGAUCAUGAAAAGAUCUAGGCCAGUCCAAGCUCACUGCAGUUAAAUCUUCAGUCUCCAGCACUGCACUUGGGAAAGCGUCAAGGAGUUGAAUGUAUAUGUAAUUGGAGUGCCAGAAGAAGAGAACUGAGAGAGAGGGGCAGAACAGCUCAUGAGGGGGAAAACCCACUACAUACAAACAAGAAUACUGCAGACUCCUCAUCAGAAUCUAUGCUACCUGUAAAGGCUUGUAAAAGCACAGAGCUGCUCUCACCAUGCAGCCAAAGAAGAAAUGAGGAUAUCGGUCCUAUAACUGCAAGGAACUGAAUGCUGCCAACCACCUGAACGGACUUGGGCUACUGAG